rnacentral:rRNA from 1 species
AUUGAGCUACGGCCACCAGGCGACGACGGGUAGCUGGUCUGAGAGGACUGUCAGCCACACUGGGACUGAGACACGGCCCAGACUCCUGCGGGAGGCAGCAGCAGGGAAUUUUGCACAAUGGACGAAAGUCUGAUGCAGCGACGCCGCGUGGGGGAUGAAGGCCUUCGGGUUGUAAACCCCUUUCAGGAGGGACGAAGCGAAAGUGACGGUACCUCCAGAAGAAGCCCCGGCCAACUACGUGCCAGAGCCCGCGGCCGA